GUCAUCACAAGCCCUCCAGGUCCAGUGCCUGGAGUGCUCUGUCAUUGGGAAUGACCCUGGUGAUACCUAGUGGAUGACAUUGCCAUGUGCCCGUUCAAAAGUGGUCUGACUCUGUUUCCCAGCCCUGUCUGCCCUAUCCUGUCCUCUCAUAUCUCCUGUUGUCUGUAAACAGAGGUUCCUGGUUUCUAUUCAUGCUCUCUCUCUCAUACUCCCGUCUUUUCCGGGGCAAAUUCUUCUAACUUCCGCCUUCCUGUUUGUUGCUUCCCCUCUCAAAUUUGCUGCUUUGCUAACCUGUCUGUCCUUGCACUGUUUCUGCCUCCCUCCUUGGUUGUUUUCUCUGCACCUUCCUGCACCCCUCCUCAUUAACUGUCUCUAACAAACGUACUAAUAAGCACUGCCGCCUGCAGGUGCGGGGAUGACUGCACAGGCAAGCUGGCAAGGGAGGUACCGAGGGCAUCGUGGACGUGCCUGAGAUGAGCGCUCAUAGGAUUGACUUCUAGUUCCAGAAGAAUUAUUCUGGGUGAUCCCUCCUGCCUGCCCAUCAGGGAAGCAGUGGCAGAUCCACCCUACUCCCUGCAGUCCUUUUGCUGGCCGGCAGCCCUUCCAGGUCUCAUCCAUGGAGAAGGCGCCAGGCCUGAAGGGCACCAGGCUAAGAGGGUUCAGACCUUCCUUCUCAUGACCGCAUGACCGCACCACUGCAGUGGCAACUCCUAGUGACUGCAUUAGAUGUUCAGAAAAAGAAAUCACAGGCACAUCGACUCAUAUGAUGCUAUGACGAGUGAGGGGGAUAAUGAUAAACACACAGUACUUCUGGCACCCACUGGGUCUCCUUCCAUUUUCUUCACAGAAAGCCUAAACAACCUGCUGUGCGGUGCAUGAAAAAGGUUGUAUCAGAAGAACAUCUGCACAUUAGUGCAGCAAUUAGCUUAUACAGUAGCGCCCGGUGGUGAAAUAGCUUUAAUCUUUUUUCCACAUACGAAAAUGAUGCAUAAUAUAAAGGGAUGCUUACGCUGAAGUCAGACCUGACAACUGCUGUGGUGUCUCAAACAUUUCAUCAAAAGUAGCUCCUUCCAGGGGCCUGAAGGGGAGGAGGAAAGGGGGAUCACAACAUCGAACGGAUCAAACAAGCACUCUUCAGAGAAGACAUCAGUCCCUCACUGAUCUUUGGCACGAUGCGAGCAUCUUUGAGGAAGCGUUCCUCACGUGCAACGCGCAUCACCAGGGAAGAGCGCCCACGGCACCGGCACGCUGGAUUUGCUAUGCCCCGGGGGGCCGCCGCAGAGGGAGGGCUGCCUCCAGCCCCGCGGGAACGGGCGCCCCUCGGGAACUGAAGGGGCUCCGAAACAGUGAGGAUAACGGUGGCGGAAAUGAUGGGGAAGAAAGAAGGAAAAAAAGAGUUUCCAAGGGGAAACAUCUGUCCUCUUUAGCAUUAGCUACAAGUGGUAGCUUUUUAAUUAUUAAGAUGCUGAAGCUGGCAGAGGUUGCAGAGUGGAUUGACUCAGUAAUCAUUUAGAAGAGUCCCAAUAGCUGGGGAGGAUUCCCAUGUAGUCAUUUUCUAACUGGAUAGAGGAAGAAAUAAACUCUUCAUGUAUUUAUUAUUAUUAUGGGCU
ensembl:lncRNA